UAGGAAUCUUCCACAAUGGACGCAAGUCUGAUGGAGCAACGCCGCGUGAGUGAAGAAGGUUUUCGGACCGUAAAGCUCUGUUGUUGGUGAAGAAGGAUAGAGGUAGUAACUGGCCUUUAUUUGACGGUAAUCAACCAGAAAGUCACGGCUAACUACGUGCCAGCAGCCGCGGUAAAUCGUAGGUGGCAAGCGUUGUCCGGAUUUAUUGGGCGUAAAGCGAGCGCAGGCGGAAGAAUAAGUCUGAUGUGAAGGCCCUCGGCUUAACCGAGGAAUUGCAUCGGAAACUGUUUUCUUGAGUGCAGAAGAGGAGAGUAGAACUCCAUGUGUAGCGGUGGAAUGCGUAGAUAUAUGGAAGAAUACCAGUGGCGAAGGCGGCUCUCUGGUCUGCAACUGACGCUGAGGCUCGAAAGCAUGGGUAGCGAACAGGAUUAGAUACCCUGGUAGUCCAUGCCGUAAACGAUGAGUGCUAAGUGUUGGGAGGCUUCCGCCUCUCAGUGCUGCAGCUAACGCAUUAAGCACUCCGCCUGGGGGAGUACGACCGCAAGGUUGAAAC
rnacentral:rRNA from 1 species